CCUACGGGGAGCAGCAGUGAGGAAUAUUGGUCAAUGGACGAGAGUCUGAACCAGCCAAGUAGCGUGAAGGAUGACUGCCCUAUGGGUUGUAAACUUCUUUUAUAAAGGAAUAAAACGAGGCACGUGUGCCUUUUUGCAUGUACUUUAUGAAUAAGGCUCGGCUAACUCCGUGCCAGCAGCCGCGGUAAUACGGAGGAUCCGAGCGUUAUCCGGAUUUAUUGGGUUUAAAGGGAGCGUAGAUGGGUUGUUAAGUCAGUUGUUAAAGUUUGCGGCUCAACCGUAAAAUUGCAAUUGAUACUGGCAGUCUUGAGUACAGUUGAGGUAGGCGGAAUUCGUGGUGUAGCGGUGAAAUGCUUAGAUAUCACGAAGAACCCCGAUUGCGAAGGCAGCUUACUAAACUGUGACUGACAUUGAUGCUCGAAAGUGUGGGUAUCAAACAGGAUUAGAUACCCCUGUAGUC
rnacentral:rRNA from 1 species